UAGUUUCCACAAGUUAUAUAUAGGAGCCCCGGCCCUAGUUGCCUUAGACGCAUGUUCGCUGCUGCUUAACAACAUUUUGAUCUUAUUGUUGUGUUCCUUCAAUUUUUAAUUUUCAAUAAUCAUGAGGCAGGGUUGUGCAAGAAUUGGAAACGAACUGCUAUAAGAAAACCUGACACGGAAAAGCAGGCAAGAUGGCAAUACAAAUAUCC
rnacentral:lncRNA from 1 species